GGCGCGUUGGUCCAGUGGAACGGACAUUGGUCUCUCACACCGAAGACACGGGUUCGACUCCCGUACGCGUCACGA
rnacentral:tRNA from 2 species